rnacentral:rRNA from 1 species
CUAGACUCCUACGGGAGGCAGCAGUGGGGGAUAUUGCACAGUGGGGGAAACCCUGAUGCAGCGACGCCGCGUGAGUGAAGAAGUAAUUCGUUACGUAAAGCUCUAUCAGCAGGGAAGAAAAUGACGGUACCUGACUAAGAAGCCCCGGCUAACUACGUGCCAGCAGCCGUGGUAAUACGUAGGGGGCAAGCGUUAUCCGGAUUUACUGGGUGUAAAGGGAGCGUAGGCGGUAAUGCAAGUCAGAAGUGAAAGCCCGGGGCUCAACUCCGGGACUGCUUUUGAAACUGUGUUACUAGAUUGCAGGAGUGGUAAGUGGAAUUCCUAGUGUAGCGGUGAAAUGCGUAGAUAUUAGGAGGAACACCAGUGGCGAAGGCGGCUUACUGGACUGUAAAUGACGCUGAGGCUCGAAAGCGUGGGGAGCAAACAGGAUUAGAUACCCCUGUACC